ACACGUAGGAGGCAAGCGUUAUCCGAAUUUACUGGGCGUAAAGCGCGUGCAGGCGGUUCGGUAAGUUGGAUGUGAAAUCUCUCGGCUCAACUGGGAGGGGACGUUCAAUACUGUCGGACUCGAGGACGAUAGAGGGAGGUGGAAUUCCCGGUGUAGUGGUGAAAUGCGUAGAUAUCGGGAGGAACACCAGUGGCGAAAGCGGCCUCCUGGAUCGUUCCUGACGCUCAGACGCGAAAGCUAGGGGAGCGAACGGGAUUAGAAACCCCGGUAGUCCUAGCCGUAAACGAUGUAGACUUGGUGUUGGUGGGGUAAAAUCCAUCAGUGCCGAAGCUAACGCGAUAAGUCUACCGCCUGGGGACUACGGUCGCAAGGCUAAA
rnacentral:rRNA from 1 species